GGGAAACAUCUUAUCAUAUACCAGAAAUCCCUGUUUGGAAAAGCAUCUUCAAGCUUGAAGACUGGGCAGGCACAAUUCCCUUUAAUGGUGACGCUUGACAAUAACCCAUUGACCAGUAUGGAGACCUCAGCAGUUCUUCGCAUCAUUCUUGGAGAAAAUGAUUUUGCCAAAGU